rnacentral:rRNA from 1 species
AGCCAGUUGGCGGGGUAACGGCCCACCAAAGCGACGAUCAGUAGCCGACCUGAGAGGGUGACCGGCCACAUUGGGACUGAGACACGGCCCAAACUCCUACGGGAGGCAGCAGUGGGGAAUAUUGCACAAUGGGCGCAAGCCUGAUGCAGCGACGCCGCGUGAGUGAAGAAGUAUCUCGGUAUGUAAAGCUCUAUCAGCAGGGAAGAAAAUGACGGUACCUGACUAAGAAGCCCCGGCUAACUACGUGCCAGCAGCCGCGGUAAUACGUAGGGGGCAAGCGUUAUCCGGAUUUACUGGGUGUAAAGGGAGCGUAGACGGCGACGCAAGUCUGGAGUGAAAGCCCGGGGCCCAACCCCGGGACUGCUUUGGAAACUGUGCUGCUGGAGUGCAGGAGAGGUAAGUGGAAUUCCUAGUGUAGCGGUGAAAUGCGUAGAUAUUAGGAGGAACACCAGUGGCGAAGGCGGCUUACUGGACUGUAACUGACGUUGAGGCUCGAAAGCGUGGGGAGCAAACAGGAUUAGAUACCCUGGUAGUCCACGCC